UAUAAAUAUAAACAAACCUUGGAAGGUCAGAUAUUUAUUACUAUUUAUAAUGAUAAUAUUUAUAACAAUAUUUCCCAGGGAGAAUACUUAUAGCUGUGUCUGUGUUCCCCUUCCCAGUCCCAGCAAUGUCAUGCUGGGGUUUUUCAGAAACAACUUCUAAAUACUCCUAGUCAAUUCAACUGUGUUAGUAUGUGCUUUUUGAUGAGAUGCUAUGUAGUGUUUUGAGACUUGAUGCAUAUCACAGACAGGUAGCAAGUUUAGUUGGAAUACCUUUAGAAAGUUGAGUUUUAGCUUUUGGGUUCCUUGGGGUGAUUAAAAUAAAUUUCAGCAUAAAUGGCUUUGUGAUCAAAUGGUAUUGCAAAACUGAAUAUCAGAAAUCUUGAUCAAAUGAGAUCUGGGCGCUCUCUCUCUCUAAUGCUUCUGUCAUUCUCGCAUGUGAUUCUUCUGGGAGGGUCUUGAAGGAGUUCUCUUCAGACAGAAGAACUAGUUGACUUACUAAAGAUACUUGCAGGGAGCAGAGAAAGGAAGGGAGAAAGAUAUGCAUGCUGGAGCACCUGGCUCAAAAAUUGAAGGCUUGAGAGUUGGAUAGUAAUUGACUAUACCAGCCGCUGGAUGUCACUUGUUCCACAUAAAUAUAUAAAAGAAGUUAAUAGUCCAAAACCAGAGAAAAUACUUCAAGCGUCUGUUGAGGACAUGGAAAUGCUAUCUAGUUUGUGCUUUCGUCAGCCGAUACCAUCUGUGAUUACUCCCAAGCAGGAGUCCCAUCAUGAUCUACCAUGAAACUUUAAUCGUCCCUAUAGAAUUUGGAGCAGGAAGAAGGACAUAGUUUCCGCCAUGGCUGUUCAGGAGGGAAUCACUGCUCUAAUAAAGGAUGAUUUUGGAAAGAAUACUUCCUGACAAUGGAAGAAAGCCAAAAACCCUUAAAACCUAACUGGAGCAUUAGAAGUAGAAGUAUCCUCUGUCUAAAAUAUCACCAUUCUGAAUGAACUACAUAUUCCGUCAAAGUCUGCAAACACUGCUGAAAAUGAAGCCUUCAGAAAUAGACAUUUCUUUUGUUCUUUCAUCGAUGAAGCAUCAUAAAAGCAGGAUAAAAAAAGAGCUUUUUAAAAUGCUGCUUGACUCAGUUGCUGAACAGAGAUCCUAUGCUAAUCCAGCAUAUGCAACUGAAUAAUGGACUGGGACUGAGAUUAUCUACGCUAGUGUUGUAUAUUUAUACAGUUACAAAAGCAGCAACCUUACGGUAUAUUUAAACAAUGUAUUAAAGGGAGUGCGUGCAAAUAAAGAAUGUCGGGUAGAUAUAAACCAGAACCAACUAGAAUAAGGGGGCUGUGGGGCUGUAUCGUCUCUUACGGAACAUUUCGCAGUCUGCUGAGAACCCUGUAUAUUUUAUCGUCAUCAUGGAUGAUGACUAUUGCUGAAAACUGAAGUAUUGACAGAGAAGGUUUAGCUGUGGUCUCUGGAAAGAAAGUAUUACCAAACUGCAUUGCAGCACGGAAUAGUCCUUUCAAGAUUGCACCCUUCAAGGGCAGUUCUAAAGAAUGCAGUAAAAAUCUGUUUAUUUUCUACUGAAAUGCAACCAUUUGCAAGAGUCAUCUUGCAUCUAACGCAAAAGAUUAAACCCACGUUAGGGUUGAACGUGGUACAACAGGAGGUUGCAACUGAAAUUUUUAGCUCAUAGGUAUGAAAUUAAGAUUGCUGGCAGUGAACUCAUUCGUGUUUCAGAUGUUGAUUGUCUCAAAUGCAAUUAACCUCAUUCAAUUAAGGUAAAACUGGGAAGACUCUUUACACUGUUAUUAGAAGGAGUUCAGUACAAAAAAGCUUAGCGCUUACGCAGCGGUAUAGUCCACAAACUGUUAUAAUGGCUUAAUUUGGCUCAUUUAUUCUGAAUUAUAGUUUACUGAUUCUAUGCCUUCCCUUUUUAAAAAGUUGAUUGAUAAUCCUAGGAGAAGAGCUUAGAAGAACAGAGAUGGCACAGGGAUGGAGAAUGGAAUGAGGACGAUAAAGAAAACUGAGAGGAAAAAGCCACAAAUGUCUAUAUGUAAACAUGCAAAAAGUAUAUAUGUAAAAAUGUAAAUAGCUGUGGGUUCUGAAAGGGUGAGGAUUUUCCUUGUCUUAUCUGUAAUAUUUGGGUACUGAAUAGUUCAGAAUAACAACUAAAUUAUAUAUCUUCUAAUAUUCAGGCAAGAUUUGAUGUUAGAUUUAUAUACAAUCUUCCUCAGUAGAAUUAUUACUAUGAAUUAAAGAUGAUAUCCUAUUAACUUUAUACCUAGAAAGGGGAAUGAAUUAUUUACAUUAAUUUGGUCAUACAGUUUGAGCUGUAAAAACUUUUUAAUGCCAACAAGCUAUUUUCUAGUGACAAUCUUCAAGGAGAAUAUUUUUCUCUAAAGCCUCAGCAUGGGCAGAGACAACUAGCAUGUGCAGUCUGGAUACUCUUAUCUCUUUCCAGUAGCCAGCUGGCACAUUCCUCCAGCGGACUACAGGGCAGCUCACAGUAAGGUUUAAGAAGAUUAAUGAAAUCUCUUUUGGAUGCCACGUAAUUUAUUCUUCAGGUGAAGUGUCAGAGGGCUAAAGGCAUUUUGCUUCAAGACGCAGGAGUGGAAGGCCACGCAUCAGUGUGUGUAUGGCCAGACAAGCUGCUGGAAGCAAAGGUAGGCAGAUACAGUGCUAGCCACAUCGCUCCUGUGUGUGCUCUUGCCUGUGGCUCGCCCUAGCUGUCCUAGCCUGAUGAGCCACCCAGGCUUAGGAUGAAUGUGGAACUGAAGCAUGUGCUUGUGCUGCCAACGAAAAUCCUGCUGCAAUUCAGAAAGGUCAAGUUAGAAAGUUUUAAAUUAAUACAGUUGCCUCUCUGUGAUUAUAACUCCUAAAGGAAGUCCGUUCUCUGAAAUAUGCAUUUAACAUAUGCACUCUUUCAGUAAAACACAAACGCUUGCUGCUUUCUGCUUCUACUGGCAUGAUCUAGUUCCCUCUAAGAGUCUAUGUAGCAUGAGAAUAUACAGUAUCUCGAUUGAAGUCUCAGGGAAUGGAUUGUCUUCGAGUUUUUAUUUUGCAUAGUGCAAAGUGAGUUGUUGACGCUUGACAAAUAAUAACAAACACUAAUUUAAAUAUUCUGGUAACUUCAUUUCAAAAGAUGGUCAAUGGAAGUCUGUUCUAAGAAAUGUUGAAGUCAGUGUUCUAAUUUAAAUAUAUCACUUGCUCUGUCUAUUCUAGCUCUUAACUUUUCAGUGCUCUGUUUAAAAUUAAUAACGUCUGGUUUUGAAUUUUCAGACAAUUGUAAAUUAGUUUCUUUAUGGAACCUCUGAAAUGAAAAUAGUUGUUUAAAACUGUCAGUCUACAGUCUGCCAUAAAUCACAUCUUAUUUCUGUGAAUUUUACUGAGCAUACACUUAUAAUAAUUAACUCACUACUCUCAAAUUUUGAUAGUUCCUAUCUGCUAAAACUGCUAAUUUUGUAAAAAUAUUUAUUAAAAUAUAUGCUUAACACUUGGGAACAGUCCAUGCUUAAUAUGCAAAUGGGCUUAUAUAUAUUAAUGAUACAAAUUUUAUGAUACGUGUAGCAUCUCAUUUCUGUGAAUGUAAAAGCUGGGAUUUGAAAAUGAUAUAUUUCCCUUACUGUUAAAAAUAAAAUGAUCUGGGAGGAAUUUUGCUUUAAACUCACAAAAAGGUUUU